rnacentral:misc_RNA from 1 species
UCCGUGUUAACCACGGCAGUCUCUCUAGAGUGCCCAACUGAAUGCUGGCAACUAAAGAUAAGGGUUGCGCUCGUUGCGGGACUUAACCCAACAUGUCACCACACGAGCUGACGACAGCCAUGCAGCACCUGUCAUCUGGUUGUAUUGCUACAAAAAACGUGUCUCCACGUCGGUCCAGAGAUGUCAAACCCAGGUAAGGUUUUUCGCGUUGCUUCGAAUUAAACCACAUGAUCCACCGCUUGUGCGGGCCCCCGUCAAUUCCUUUGAGUUUUAGUCUUGCGACCGUACUUCCCAGGCGGGAUACUUAUCGCGUUAGCUCCGGCUCGGCAGGGGUCAAGACCCGCCAAGCCUAGUAUCCAUCGUUUACAGCGUGGACUAC